UACCAAAAUCAUUCUCGGGGAUACCUUGGCUGAGGCAUCUAACCGAGUCCGCCAAGGCUGUUAAAAAUUUCGUAUACACGUAAACAAAUUAUUAGUUUGAAAAACACAGUCGUUCCUUGACGUUAGCGGAGUUCAUCAUCACGAGGUGGUUCGGUGUGACGUGAACUCUAACCAUACCUCAGGAGAUACUCUACGCGCCUCUUCGACCGUGGUACAUAAAUAUAUCAGGAUUCCAUGCCCCUCUAAUUGGUUGGUCCACAGAAUUCGCCUACUGCAGGAAGCUAAACCCACCAUACAAUAAAAUUUUGACAGCAUGACAAGGCUAAUAUUUUACUACCCUGCCUGUAAGGGUAAAAUAAAACAAUUCAUACAAUUCAUAAAACACAGCCCAGCCAGUCAUGUCAACACAAUAACAAUAUAACAUAAGCCAUCAAUUUCCAAUCAUAAAUUUACAAUAUACCGAUGGUCUCCAAUUACUCUAUUUUCAAAAUCGUUAUUUUGUUUCAAGACAAUUUAUUAAAUCUUUUCAUUUAAACACAAUUUUAUUUACAAAACCUAAAAUUAGCCAUUCAACUCAUUUUUCAUAAAAUUUCACCAAAACCGAGUUAAAACAUACUUUAUAUAAUUAAAAUGAUGAUAAGGUUACUCACAAUGUCUAGAAUGGGGAUUUUCGAAAUACUCAGAUUACUGGUCCUUGGGUGCAUUUCCCUUAACUUUAUCGAAAGACUCACCACCUUAACACAGUACAAAAUCGAGAAACUUACUUCAUUCAUACUAAAUUGAAUUUAAACUAAUUUAGACUACUAAUGCACGAUAUGGAAUGCAAAACGCACUGGUAACCAUCUAAUCCUCGGUAUUGGCCUAAUUCAACUUAUCACCCGAUUAAUUAGCCAAUGCGUCCAAUUUAGCUCCAAAUUGCUCCAUUUCUUUUUUAAUACCUCAAUUCACCAAACAUUAUUCAAAUAACACCAAUUUCAGCAUAAAAACCCUCCCAUUUCUUCAUGGAAAAAUUCGGCCAUUAUAGUGCACUAACACCGUGAUUUUUCCUACUUAAUUUUUCUCACCAUUAUUCAUCAUUUUCUAAGCCAUUUCUCUUGAAAUAAUAACAAUCCAUCACCCACACACAUCAAGGAAGGUUCGGCCAAUGAAGAUUCAUGGGGAAAAUGGAUUCUUUUCUUGUUGUUUUUCUUCUAAAUAUGCUAAACUAACUAAAAACACUAACAUAUCUUAAAAUCAAAUCAAUCCAACAUCUUUCUCUCUCCAUACCCAUUUUGACCAGCCAUGAAUUCAUCAUGAAAACAUGUAAUUUAACCAUGGAAAAUAAGGAGAAAUGCUUAAGGAAAAUAGAUUUCAAGUUUACAUUGAAAAAUCCUACCUUUUUCACUUGUUUUCCUUGAUUUUCCACACUUUUUCUCUUGAAAUUCUCCACCUAGGAUUUGUUCUUUCUUUGUUUCCCUCUUUUCC
rnacentral:lncRNA from 1 species